rnacentral:lncRNA from 1 species
CUCUACUCGCUUCACCAACCCCGUUCUCACCACUACUGCGACCCUUCGUUACAGUAAUUCUGCUGGUCCUGUCUCUGGUCCUCCUCCUGGUGGACCUACCAUCCAAAUCGACUGGUCUUUGAACCAGGCACGCUCUAUCAGGACUAACCUUACAGCGAGUGGACCAAGGCCUAACCCUCAGGGCUCUUACCACUAUGGUCUCAUUAAUACAACCAGAACCAUCAGGCUUGCAAACUCUGCGGGACAAGUUAAUGGGAAGCAAAGAUAUGCAGUUAACAGUGUUUCCUUUGUUCUGCCAGAUACUCCUUUGAAACUUGCCGAC